AUGUGCGAUCAUACCAACACUAAUGCACCGAAUCCUAUCAGAACUUCGCAGUUAAGCGUGACCUCAUGAGAAGUCCUUGUGUUGCACCUC
rnacentral:rRNA from 1 species